rnacentral:rRNA from 1 species
GACGUAGGGCGCGAGCGUUGUUCGGAUUCAUUGGGCGUAAAGGGUGCGUAGGUGGCGCCGUAAGUCGGGUGUGAAAUUUCGAGGCUUAACCUCGAAACUGCAUUCGAUACUGCGGUGCUUGAGGACUGGAGAGGAGACUGGAAUUCAUGGUGUAGCAGUGAAAUGCGUAGAGAUCAUGAGGAAGACCAGUGGCGAAGGCGGGUCUCUGGACAGUUCCUGACACUGAGGCACGAAGGCCAGGGGAGCAAACGGG